CCUACGGGAGGCAGCAGUGAGGAAUAUUGGUCAAUGGGCGCGAGCCUGAACCAGCCAAGUAGCGUGAAGGAUGACUGCCCUACGGGUCGUAAACCUCUUUUAUAAAGGAAUAAAGUGAGGCACGUGUCCCUUUUUGUAUGUACCUUAUGAAUAAGGAUCGGCUAACUCCGUGCCAGCAGCCGCGGUAAUACGGAGGAUGCGAGCGUUAUCCGGAUUUAUUGGGUUUAAAGGGUGCGCAGGCGGGAGAUAAAGUCAGCGGUAAAAUGUCGGGGCUCAACCCCGGCCGGCCGUUGAAACUGGUUUUCUUGAGUAGGAGUGAGGCAUGCGGAAUGCGUGGUGUAGCGGUGAAAUGCUUAGAUAUCACGAAGAACUCCGAUUGCGAAGGCAGCAUACC
rnacentral:rRNA from 1 species